GAUGAACGCUGGCGGCGUGCCUAAUACAUGCAAGUCGAGCGAACGGACGAGAAGCUUGCUUUUCUGAUGUUAGCGGCGGACGGGUGAGUAACACGUGGAUAACCUACCUAUAAGACUGGGAUAACUUCGGGAAACCGGAGCUAAUACCGGAUAAUAUUUUGAACCGCAUGGUUCAAAAGUGAAAGACGGUCUUGCUGUCACUUAUAGAUGGAUCCGCGCUGCAUUAGCUAGUUGGUAAGGUACCGCCUUACCAAGGCAACGAUGCAUAGCCGACCUGAGAGGGUGAUCGGCCACACUGGAACUGAGACACGGUCCAGACUCCUACGGGAGGCAGCAGUAGGGAAUCUUCCGCAAUGGGCGAAAGCCUGACGGAGCAACGCCGCGUGAGUGAUGAAGGUCUUCGGAUCGUAAAACUCUGUUAUUAGGGAAGAACAUAUGUGUAAGUAACUGUGCACAUCUUGACGGUACCUAAUCAGAAAGCCACGGCUAACUACGUG
rnacentral:rRNA from 1 species